UGGGGAAUAUUGGACAAUGGGGGCAACCCUGAUCCAGCAAUGCCGCGUGUGUGAAGAAGGUUUUCGGAUUGUAAAGCACUUUCGGCGGGGACGAUGAUGACGGUACCCGCAGAAGAAGCCCCGGCUAACUUCGUGCCAGCAGCCGCGGUAAUACGAAGGGGGCUAGCGUUGCUCGGAAUGACUGGGCGUAAAGGGCGUGUAGGCGGUUUGUACAGUCAGAUGUGAAAUCCCCGGGCUUAACCUGGAGCUGCAUUUGAGACGUGCAGACUAGAGUGUGAGAGAGGGUUGUGGAAUUCCCAGUGUAGAGGUGAAAUUCGUAGAUAUUGGGAAGAACACCGGUGGCGAAGGCGGCAACCUGGCUCAUUACUGACGCUGAGGCGCGAAAGCGUGGGGAGCAAACAGGAUUAGAUACCCUGGUAGUCCACGCUGUAAACGAUGUGUGCUGGAUGUUGGGUAACUUAGUUAUUCAGUGUCGUAGCUAACGCGAUAAGCACACCGCCUGGGGAGUACGGCCGCAAGGUUG
rnacentral:rRNA from 1 species